CACGUAGGGCGCAAGCGUUGUCCGGAAUUAUUGGGCGUAAAGAGCUCGUAGGCGGUCUGCUGCGUCCGCUGUGAAAACUCGGGGCUUAACCCCGAGCCUGCAGUGGAUACGGGCAGACUAGAGGUAGGUAGGGGAGAAUGGAAUUCCCGGUGUAGCGGUGAAAUGCGCAGAUAUCGGGAGGAACACCGGUGGCGAAGGCGGUUCUCUGGGCCUUACCUGACGCUGAGGAGCGAAAGCGUGGGGAGCGAACAGG
rnacentral:rRNA from 1 species